UACGUAGGGGGCAAGCGUUAUCCGGAUUUACUGGGUGUAAAGGGAGCGUAGGCGGCGAUGCAAGUCAGAAGUGAAAGCCCGGGGCUCAACUCCGGGACUGCUUUUGAAACUGUGUUGCUAGAUUGCAGGAGAGGUAAGUGGAAUUCCUAGUGUAGCGGUGAAAUGCGUAGAUAUUAGGAGGAACACCAGUGGCGAAGGCGGCCUUCUGGGCCAUCACUGACGCUGAGGCGCGAAAGCUAGGGGAGCAAACAGG
rnacentral:rRNA from 1 species